UUAUACAUGAAUAUUGAUUGUCAUGUGUCACAUUCUGAUUGGAUGUUGACUCUAUGAACGAUGAAAAUGUAUUGUUGUUGUCAACGUCCAAUUAGAACGCAACACGUGACAGUCAUCGUCG
rfam:Glycine soja cultivar W05 scaffold1843_6, whole genome shotgun sequence.